AUCAGCCAGCUGAAGAUCCCCCAUUUUGCCGCCAUCUCCGCCGUAUAUUUCUGCUCCUGCUUCGCGGAUCCUGUGCCCAGCGAGAUCACCAGCAAUUUGUCGAAGUUGAGAGGCUGAACUGGGAAGAAAUCAGGGUAGCUUCUCGCCGUUUCUUUCAUGACUUCUCUUAUCGCCACCAUUGUCUGAGAAAAUUAAAUAUUUUCCAGUUUCAGACAAUUUUGGAGCGUUGAAGACUGAAGCAAUUUUAAAAUUGGGAUAUAUAUAUAUAUACCGGGUUGUUAGCAGCUACGCCGCCGUCGAUGAGAUUGAAAUCCCAGGGCUGGCCGGAGUCGUCGGCGUUCGUGAAAUGAUGCGCCG
rnacentral:lncRNA from 1 species